GAUUCGGGAAUUGGCCACUACCUCGCACUCACGUGAUGCACUCAAAACGCCGACGAGGACGUCCAAAUUCCAUUUUCUCGUUUUCCUCUGUCGUUUUGCGUUGAUUUCAUAUUUCAUGUGAUGUGACGUAGUGGAACAUUCCUGGCG
rfam:Drosophila mojavensis strain TSC#15081-1352.22 Ctg01_10249, whole genome shotgun sequence.